rnacentral:lncRNA from 1 species
AUUUAAUGUUGUUUAUUUCUUCAUUAACCUUUAUUAUUUUCUUCUUUCUGAUUGCUUCAGAAUUAAUUUGUUCUCAUUUUUAUAAUAACAAGUUGGAAGCUUUCAUCAUAAUUUCAAGGUAAUUUUUCUUUUCUAAUGCAAGCUCUUAAUGGGAUAGAUUUUUCCCUAAACACAGAAAUUUCCACAUUUUGAUAUGUUAUACUUUUUCAAAUUUCUCUUACUUUUGGUUAGGUUCAUGUUUAAAUAUACAUAUGUGCAAGAAUAUUUUCCCUUGAUUUAUAUGGAUUUAGAGGUUAAAAAAAGGCAAAAAAAAUAUUUUGGAAAUUUCUAGGAGACUUAGUUCACCAUAAUUGUUACAUAAUUGUGCAUAUGUUGCAAGUAAUGUAUUGAGAAAAGUAUUUAUAUCUGUAUACAUGUUUGGUCCUUAAUGAUGAAAUUAAUGCACAGUUGUCUAACUGUAAUAAUUUCCUUAUAAUCACACUAGUUUUCCUUUGGUGCCACAAGAUGAUGAAUCUCACUUUAGUGUGACCAAGCAAAAUGAGGUACAAAAACAGUCCAAUCAAUGUGAAAAUAUCUCAAAUUCACAUGAAUUUUAAAAAUAUUUUAUAUGUAAAUUAAAUUAGAAAUUAAAUAUAUAUAAUAUAUUUUAUUUCAGAAAUAUUUGCUUGCCUUUUGGAACUCAAAGUUCAAAACCUUCUAUUGUCAUCUUUAAAUAACUAAUUUUUAAGUUAAUUUCUACUUGGUUCUAUGAAAAUACUACCACACAAUGUGGAGAUAAAGAAAACAUUUACAGAAAAAUUGUCCAUAUGGACACAUUUUAAACAGAUGAUCUAAUUAGCAUAAUAGCCACCAAACUGGUAAAUAAACAGUUUUGUUGAUUUGCUGCUUAAUCAGCAUCUAUUCAGAAUUCUGUAAUAUUGUUUAGUAAAACAGUUUAUUUCCAUCCAUAAAUGUAUUUUAUAAAUUUAUGCCCAGUAAACUUCCAGGUAAACCAUCGAAAUAUUAACUGUUUUCUACAAGUGGUGGUCUUUUUUUUUAAGCUGGUUUCUAUAAUGAAUUGAUGAGAGUGAAUGAAGAUUAAAAUGCUUAUUCUGUAAUAAAAGCCAAUGCCAGCAUGCCGAUAUAUAAUCUCUAUAGAUCAAAAAAUAUUCGGCCGGGCGCGGUGGCUCACGCCUGUAAUCCCAGCACUUUGGGAGGCAGAGGCGGGCGGAUCAUGAGGUCAGGAGAUCGAGACCAUCCUGGCUAACGCGGUGAAACCCCGCCUCUACUAAAAAUACAAAAAAUUAGCCGGGCGUGGUGGCGGGCGCCUGUGGUCCCGGCUACUCGGGAGGCUGAGGCAGGAGAAUGGCGUGAACCCGGGAGGCGGAGCUUGCAGUGAGCUGAGGUCGCGCCACUGCACCCCAGCCUGGGCGACAGAGCGAGACUCCGUCUCAAAAAAAAAAAAAAAAAAAAAUUCAUGCCUUAUUCUCAGAUUUUUAAUAGUGGCUCUAAGCAGUCUUAAAAAUUUAUUAUUUAGACACCUUAUCCUAUAUUUUAAAAAUAUUUUCUUAGUAUACUGUGGAUGUUAUACAAGUCAUGUAAUGGAUAGAGAAUUUCUUACAUAAAUUUACAAUAAAAUUUUUUAAAUAAAACUUUUGUGAAAUUAUUUUCAAAUGUUAUAAAUGUUAAUGAGUUUUGUUAUAUUGGUUCCAAUAUUUCUCACAUAUGGAAAAUGUCAUUUUCCCUGGGAAUUAAUAUUUGGAACUGGUGUUUAAGAAAAACCAUGUUUGAUGUUGGAAAAUGCUAUGUCCGGUAUAACUAUAGAUGUUUGGAAAGCAGCUCAGUUAUGCUAAAGAUAAAGAAAGGAGAGAAAAAUGACAGAAGGGGAGGUUUGAACAAAACAAAAUAAUACCUGAAAAUGUUGAAUGGAUAUGUAAUAUUUGUGAAUGUUUAUGUUCUCUAUUUCACCAUUAUUUAAACAUUUAUAUUUUCAAAGGGAGAAAAUAAUUAUAUUUUGAAAUCAUUUUAUUUUUUUAUAGAGUGCUGUAUUUUUUCUUUUCAAUUUCAAUUUGGUAAGCAAACAAAAUCAGUCAGAAUAUUAUACAUAAUUAGGUUUCCUUUUUGAGAUUUGUUGAAACUCUUUAUCCUUUAUGUAUGUAUUUCAAGUAGUAUAAUAAAAAAGAAAUAUAAAAUGAUUAGAUAUACAUAAAAGUAUUGUAGAUUAUGUUUUUCAUAUUUUCUUUCUUUUAAUGUAUUUUGCAGAUAUAGCCAUUCCAGAUUAUGAUUUCACAAACUAAGAUGAUUCUCAGUAGGGAAGCGUUACUGCAUGUCGUUUUCAUCAAAGGGAGCUUAGUUUAUUUGCCUGUCUGAAUAUUGACAUUAUAUUACUAAUUUACACAUUGGGGAAAGGGUCAAGAGAACUCCAAAUUUUUGUUGACUUGAUAUUAACCUGAAAGGGGAAUGUUAAUAAAUGACAAAAUAUAUCCACAGUAGUUAGACAUCAAGUUGUGUUUAUUUUUUUAAUCUACUGCAUAUUAUUGAAUUAUUUAGAUAGAUAGAUAGAUAGAUAGAUAGAUAGAUAGAUAGAUAGAUAGAUAGAUUGAUUUAUUAGAUGUACAGGAAAUAGAAUUCACUGGUGGGCAUGCGUAAAGAGGGGGCAGCUCUUUUCUAAUGCAGGGCUAGCUGCUUGUCCAGGGGCCCAUGAUUCCAGGGCUAUAUUUGGCCCCACAGCCAUCCAGGAUGAGUUGUUUCUCAGCCACCAAGUCUUAAAAUGUAUAUGCAUUAAACUUAGUAAAAUCGCACUUCUUUGAGAUGUGGCUUUUUGGGCAUUCACUGAACUUGAAUUUGGCCCUAAAUAAGGCCUCAGUCACAUGCUCCAGGGUUUGCAGCUUGGUAUGGAUGAACAUGGCCAAUGUGACAGUAAGUUGUAAAUUAUAGAAGUUGUGCUUAUCAAAAUCAUAUUCAGUGGGCAAUAUGGCCUUUAAUAUAAUGAAGUUUACUGAUAGGGAUCUGUGGAAUUUUGAACUUGAGAGUAUCUCAAGUUCUGGUGGGUAUCUGGUGGAAAAAAUUUCUAAGCAGCAAAGCAUUCAGGAGGUAAGCUCACUACUUCUGACAAACUAUUUUGAUGUGUGUGAGCAAAGAAAUGACCUCAAACUGAAACUUAUAUUUAGAAGGGAAGCAGAGUGUAGAAACUUGAAAAAUUUGCAGCCUGGCCAUGUGGUAGAACAAAAAGCCCAUUUUCAGGAGAGAAAUUCAAGCAAGCUGCAGAAACUUGCUUAACUAAAAGGAAGGCACAUGCUGAUAGCCAAGAAAAUGAGGGAUACCCUCCAGGGCAUUUCAGAG